rnacentral:lncRNA from 1 species
AUGCACAGAGUGAAUAGAAAAAAUAUUGGAAGGAAACCAAAAUAUUGACAGCAGUUAUCUCUGAUAGAUAGAAUGACAGAUGAUGUUUAUUUUCUUCUUACACUUUUUCCUAGAUUAGUUCUGCAUUUUCCGGCAUUCAUAUGUAUUGUUUCCCAGCCAUCCUGUCAAGCGCUGGGAUUGUUCUGAUCUCUGGGAGCCUCCAGGGCUGACUCCAGUAUGGCUAAUCUAAAGUGAGCUUGUAAUCUCCAAAAUCCUGAUGGUGGCUUUUCUAUUAGGCAGACUAAUAGAUUCAGAUAUAGGUCCCAACAGUUUGUGUUUUCCUUACUGUCCCAGUUUUAUAUCAUUAUUCUUAGUACUAAACAGAGUGACAACAGGGAGUGACAUUUGUUGAGGACCUACGAUGUGUCAGGGUCCAUGCUGGGGACUUCACAUGAGGGCUCCAUGAAGCCCCCUUGGACACUCAGGUCCUUGUGUCAUCCCCACUUCCCGCCCGCCACUGACGCUGGGGUGAACCUGCAACUCACUGUGACUAAGAGAAUGCAGUGGAAACCAUGCUCUACCCAGUCCAGGCUAAAGCUUUAAGGAGGCCUGGAAGUUACCACACAGCCCAGCAAUUCUACUCCUAGGAAUCUCCCUCAAGAAAACUGAAAACAUGGCUGCGUGCAGUGGCUCACACCUGUAAUCCCAGCACUUUGAAAGGCUGAGGUAGGCGGGUCACUUGAGCUCAGGAGUUUGAGACCAGCGUAGCCAACAUGGCAAAACCCUGUCUGUACUAAAAAUACAAAAAAUUAGGGAGGUGUGGUGGUGGAUGCCUGGAGUCUCAGCUAUUUGGGAGGCUGAGGUAGGAGAACCACUUGAAUCCAGGAGGUGGAGGUUGCAGUAAGCCAAGAUCGUGCCACUGCACUCCAGCCUGGGCAACAGACUGAGACUCUGUCUUAAAAAAAAAAAAAAAAAAAAAAAAAAGGCAAGAAAACUGAAAACAUAUACUCACAGAAAGACGUGCGUACAUGUAAAUGUCCAUAGCAGCACUGCUCAUAAUAGCCAUAACGUGCAGACAACCUGCCCCACCUGGGUUCCUAGCCAGCCUUCUUUCUCACCACUCUUGAGUGGGUCUUCUCAUACCUGUCCCACUGGGCACCCAAGCAUGCAACCAAGUGACGUGGUCUUCGUGCCUCAAAGGAGUGACCCAGCCAAAGUCAUGUGGCUGGGAUUUGGGGCUGGCUAAAGAGUCCAGCCCGUGGCCGGGCACAGUGGCUCAUGCCUAUAAUCCUAGCACUCUGGGAGGCUGAGGCAGGUGGAUCACUUGAGGCCAGGAGUUUGAGACCAGCCUGGCCAAGAUGGCAAAACCCCAUCCCUCCUAAAAAAAAAAAAAAAAAAUUAGGCAUGGUGGUACAUGCCUGUAAUCCCAGCUACUCAGGAGGCUGAGGCAGGAGAAUCACGCGAACCUGGGAGGCGGAGGUUGCAGUGAGCUGACAAGACAGUACAGCACUCUAGCCUGGGUGACAGAGUGAGACACCAUCUCAAAAAAAAAAAAAAAAAAGUCCAGCCCAGAGCUCAGGGUUCCCAGACUCUGAACCAAAUCAAGUAUAAGCCAUUUCCCCAAAGAGCAGACAGGAGAGGACCAAGGUGCUGAUGUCCAAAACCAACUAGGAGGGUGGAUCUGAAGGAAAAAAACAACAAACUCACCCUAGCCAAUGGAGCUUCCCAGAAACAAAGGUGCAGAGUUGUGCCCCAACACAGAAGGCAACAUCAAGAGAGUAGCCAGGUGCAGUGGCUCACGCCAGUAAUCUCAGCACUUUGAGAGGCCGAGGCGGGCGGAUCACUUGAGGUCAGGAGUUUGAGACCAGCCUGGCCAACAUGGUGAAAUCCCAUCUCUAAGAGAACGACAAAAAAUUUAGCUGGGCCUGGUGGCAGGCGCCUGUAAUCCCAGCUACUUGGGAAGCUGAGGCAGGAGAGUCGCUUAAACCUGGGAGGGAGAGGUUGCAAUGGGCCCAGAUUGUACCACUGCAAUCCAGCCUGGGCAACAGAGCAAGACCCUGUCUCAAAAAAAAAAAAAAAAAUAUAUAUAUAUAUAUAUAUAUAUGUAUGUAUACACAAUUUGACCCUGUGUUAGCAGAGUACUUGCCCCUACUCCCCUAAAUGUCCCCAUCCCAAUCCCCAGAACCUGUAAAUAUGUCAUGGCAAGGGAUAAUUAAGGGUACAGGUGAAAUUAACAUAACUCAUCAACUGACUGCUGGAUUCUCCUGGUGGCCCCAAUGGAGUCACAAGCGUCCUUAAAUGGGGAAGAAAGAGGUAGAGGAGUCAGAAUUAGGAGACAGGGUGUCAUGAGGAAGACUUGACAGGCUAUUGGUUGCCUGGAAGAUGGAGGAAGAGGCCGUGAACCAAGGAUGUGGGCAGCCUCUAAAAGCUGGAGAAGGCGAGGAAAAUUUCUCCCUGAGAGCCUCCAGAAGGAACCAGCUAUGCGGACACAUUGAUGCUAGCCUACAGAGACCCAUUCUGUACUUUUGACUUCCAGAAUUGUAAAGAAUAAAUUUGUGGAAUUUUUUUUUUUGAGAGUCUCACUCUGUCACCCAGGCUGGAGUACAGUGGUAUGACCUCGACUCACUGCAACCUCUGCCUCCCGGGUUCAAGCGAUUCUCCUGCCUCAGCUUCCCAUGUAGCUGGAAUUACAGGCAUGCGCCACCACACCCAGCUAAGUUUUUGUAUUUUUAGUAGAGACAAGGUCUCACCAUGUUAGCCAGACUAAAUUUGUUUUGUUUGACACCACGAAGUUUGUGGUUAUUUUUUACAGUGGCAAGAGGACACGAAUACGGCUUUAAAGAAAAAGCUAGCCAGGCACAAUGGCCCAUGCCUAUAAUCCUGGCACUUUGGGAGGCUGAGGUGGGAGGACUGCUUGAGCCUGGGAGUUCAAGACCAGCCUGGGCAACAUAGUGAGACCCCAUCUCUACAAAAAAAAUAAAAAAAUAGCUGGGUGUGGUAGCAUGUGCCUGUAGUCCCAGCUACUCAGGAGGCUGAUGUGGGAGGACAGCUUGAGCUCAGGAGGUUUAGGCUGCAGUGAGCUAAGAUAGUGCCACUGCACUCCAGCUUCAGCUACAGAGCAAGACCCUGUCUCUAAAAAUAUAAAGAAAGAAAAUUUAAAAGUAAAGAAAAAGUGGAUCAUUCGGUCCUUUAAGAUGUGGCACUGCCCAAUUAGAACUUUCCUCCAUGCAAUGCAAUUACAGUCACUGAGGCACUGGAUUUUCUAGUUUUAUUUAACUAAGACGGAGACUGAAACAGCCACACGUGGCUCCUGGCUACUGUGCUGCUGAACACAGGCCCUCACUACUCAAAAGUGUGGUCCGUGGACCAGCAGUAUUAGCAUUACCAGGGAGCUCCUUAGGAACAUAGGUCCUUGAUCAGGUGUGGUGGCUCACACCUAUAACCCCAGCACUUUGGGAGGCCAAGGCAGGAGGAUCACUUGAGCCCAGGAGUUCAAGACCAGCCUGGGCAACAUAGUGAAACCUCGUCUCUACAAAAAAAUACAUUAGCCAGCUGUGGUGGUAUGUGCCUGUAGUCCCAGGAGGCUGAGGUGGGAGGAUCGCUUGAGCCUGGGGGAGGUUGAGGCUACAUUGAGCCAUGAUCGCCUCACCUGGGUGACAAAGUGAGACUGUGUCUCAAAAAAGAAAAAGAAAAGAAAUGUAGGCCCUUAGCCUGUACCUCCCCAGCCUGUUAGGCAGAAUCUGAAUUCCACAAAAACACCCCCAAGGGAUUUAGGAGGAUGUUGAAAUCUGAGACCCUCCCAUGGUUGAGGCCACCAGUCACUUACACACAAAUGCCUUCCUCUGCAGCACCAGGAGACAGAGCCCAUCACAGAACUUCUCAGGGUGCCUCCUACACCACACUAGCUUUGUGUGUUUGUUCUUUAAUGCCUCAAGGCAUACUACUAGCCAAGGAGAGUAACUAACAGCAGCUGUUGAACACUAUGGGUCAGACUUUGACCAUCUGUUAUGGACUGAAUUGUGUCACCUACCCAUGACUAAAUUCAUAUGCUGAAGCUCUGACCUCCAACAGGGACUGUAUUUGGAGACAGGGCCUUUGGGAGGUAAUUAAGGUUAAAUAAGGUCAUAAGGGUGGGGUGAUAAGCUGACAAAAGGGAGGCUGGUUGUGGUGGCUCACGCCUGUAAUCCCAGCACUUUGGGAGGCAGAGCCACCGUGCCUGGCCAUUAACCUCUUUUCUUAUAAAUUACCCAUUUCUUUAUAGCAAUGCAAGAUGGCCUAAUACACAGCUCUAGCUGACUAAUAUACCACCAUCUCACUGAAGGCUUGCAAAACCCAGCUGAGAAAGUCUUUUAAUAAAAGCAACAACAUUAAUAAAAACAGUGACAACUACUGAGUGGCUGCCCAGCAUCAGGCAUGUUAUAGGCCCAUAUCAAGACUGUCUCCUUCACUGUACCCAUAUCACAGAUGAGGACGUGGAGGUGCAGAAGGGCCAAGACACAGAACCCAGGUCUGAGCUACACCUCCAACUUGCUUUCUGCUGCAACCACCUUUUCCACCUUCUUUCUCAUGCACACAAUGUACUCUAAUUAGAUGUAAAGCUUUAUUUCCCCUAACAUUUCCACAGUUCCCUUGGCACAGUCCACACUCUUUUGCCUAGGUUUACCACCAACUGCCAAGAUAAUAAUGUAAACUAGACACCAAUGAACAGGAAACAGGAUCCACUAGUAAGAUGUCAUUUUUUUUUUUUUUUUUUUGAGACGGAGUCUUGCUCUGUCGCCCAGGCUGGAGUGCAGUGGCGUGAUCUCGGCUCACUGCAAGCUCCGCCCCCCCAGGUUCACGCCAUUCUCCUGCCUCAGCCUCCCGAGUAGCUGGGAUUAUAGGCGCCCACCACCUCGCCCGGCUAAUUUUUUGUAUUUUUAGUAGAGACGGGGUUUCACCGUGUUAGCCAGGAUGGUCUCGAUCUCCUGACCUCAUGAUCUGCCCGCCUCCGCCUCCCAAAGUGCUGGGAUUACAGGCGUGAGCCACUGCGCCCGGUCAUAAGAUGUCAUUUUUAAAAAACUGUCUAGUCCAGAGAUCAGUAAACUUUUCCAUAAAGGGUCAGAAAGUAAAUAGGUUCAGCUUUGCAGGCUGAAUGGUUUCUGUUGCAAGGACUCAAUCCUGCCCUUAUAGUGCUAAAGGAGCCAAGGAUGAUAUACAAACUAAUGAGCACAACAGCUGAUAUAAUUUGCCUGUGUCCCCACCCAAAUCUCAUCUUGAGUUGUAGUUCCCAUAAUCCCCAUGUGUGGUGGCAGAGACCUGGGGGCAGGUAACUGAAUCAUGGGGUGGUUCCCCCAUGCUAUUCUAGUGAUAGUAAGUUCUCACGAGAUCUGAUGUUUUUAUAAGGGGCAUCCACUUCACUCAGCUCUCAUUCUUCUCCUACCUGCCACCAUGGGUAGAAGGAUAUGUUUGUUUCCCCAUCCGCCAUGACUGUAAGUUUCCUGGGGUCUCCCCAGCCGUGCAUAACUGUGAGUCAAUUAAACCUCUUUUGUUUAUAAAUUACCCAGUCUCAGGCAAUCUUUCGGUUUUUUGUUUUUUUUUUUUUGAGAUGGAGUUUUGCUCUUGUUGCCCAGGCUGGAGUGCAAUGGCUCAAUCUCAGCUCAAUGCAACCUCCACUUUCCGGGUUCAAGCGAUUCUCCUGCCUCAGCCUCCUGAGUAUCUGGGAUUACAGGCACCCGUCACCACGCCCAGCUAAUUUUUGUGUUUUUUAGCAGCAGCACGAUCUCUGCUCACUGCAACCUCUGCCUCCCAGGUUCAAGCGAUUCUCCUGUCAGCCUUCCAAGUAGCUGGGAUUACAGGUACGUGCCACCACGCCUGGCUAAUUUUUGUAUUUUUAGUAGAGAUGGGGUUUCACCAUGUUGGCCAGGCUGGUCUCGAACUUCUGGGAUUACAGGCAUGAGCCUCCCUGCCCGGCCCUUUUUAUCCUUCUUUUUCUUUUUAUAGCAUGCCUUUUCCUUUUACACAAACAGCAUCCGUCUUUCAUCAACAUAGGAAAACAUCAGGAGGCCUGUCAAAUAUUUCAUAAACUCAAAUUUGGUAAAGGAUAUAAUGAAAUGGUUGAAAUGAAAAGAAAAUGCCUUGCUAAUGACAGCUUCGCUGGCUUUUCAAAUCUAACCACUUCAGAAGAGAGCAGAUCUCAUUAUCCAACAUCGCACUGCUGCUGUUCUGCUGUUCUGAGGAGUCUCAGGGAGCCUGAGAGGGGUCUUUCGUCUAACUAUCAAGAGAAAGAGGCCAGUUGCAGCAGCUCACGCCUGUAAUCCCAAAACUUCAGGAGGCUGAGGUGGGCGGAUCACCUGAGGUCAGGAGUUCGAGACCAGCCUGGCCAACAUGGAGAAACCCCAUCUCUACUAAAAAUACCAACAUUAUCCAGGCGUGGUGGUGGGUGCCUGUAGUCCCAGCUACUUGGGAGGCUGAGGCAAGAAAAUCGCUUGAACCCGGGAGGCGGAGGCUGCAGUGAGCUGAGAUUGCGCCACUGCACUCCAGCCUGGGUGACAGAGUCUCAAAAAAAGAAAGAAAGAAAGAAAGAAAACUGGGUUUUGGUCAAUUGAUUAACCACACUUGAAAAUGGGAGGGAAGAUUUCUAGCAAAUUUAAAAAAUGUGUUUGUGUAUAUGUUUGUUAAAAUGCAGGCCACAAGGGUACAGAUGAUUCCCUGAGUGGCUUUGGGAGGGAAGGGACACCUUGGGAUUCUCCAUCACACCCUAGUUGAGCGGUUGGCAAAUUUUUCUGGUAAGAGGCCAAACAGGUGACAUUUUCCAUUCUGCAGGCCAUAUGGUCUCUGUGCCACUACUCCACUUUGAAGUUAUAGUAUGGAGGUUGCUAAAGCAAUUCUAAGUAAUACACACACAAAGGGGUGUGGCCAGAUUCUAAUACAACUUUUUUUUUUUUUUUUUUUGAGAUGGAGUUUCACUCUUGUGGCCCAGGCUGGAGUGCAAUGGUGCAAUCUCGGUUCAUCACAACCUCUGCUUCCCAGGUUCAAGUGAUUCUCCUGCCUCAGCCUCCCUAGUAACUGGGAUUACAGGCCUGUACCACCACACUCGGCUAAUUUUGCAUUUUUAGUAGAGACAGCAUUUCUCCAUGUUGGCCAGGCUGGUCUCGAACUCCCAACCUCAGGUGAUCCGCCCACCUUGGCCUCCCAAAGUGCUAGGAUUACAGGCGUGAGCCACUGUGCCCGGUCCCAGUACAACUUUUUCUUUUGGAGACAGUCUAGCUCUGUCGUCCAGGCUGGAGUGCAGUGGAAAAAUCUCGGCUCACUGCAACCUCCACCUCCUGGGUUCAAGCAAUUCUCCUGCCUCAGCCUCCUGAGUAGCUUGGACUAUAAGCGUGCAGCACGACACCCGGCUAGUUUUUGUAUUUUUAGUAGAGAAAGGAUUUUGCCACAGCGGUCAGGCUAAUAAGGGAUCGCCUGGCUCAGCUUCCCAAAGUGUGGGGAUUACAGUUGUGAGCCACCGCACCCGGCUCCAAUAAAACUUUAUUUACAAAAACAAGCCGUGGGCCAGACAUGCCCUCUGGGCUGUAGUUUGCUGACUCCUGCCCUAGAGCAGAUGUACAUGAAGGGCAAUGAGAAGCGCGUGCAAAAAUACAUUCUCCUUCAAUGUGCAAUGGUGGAGGAAGCAAAAUGGGUUCCAACAUGAACCCCAAGUGAACACUCCCAGGGUAGGUGCUGUACAUUGUGGCCUUCUCUGCAUUCACCACCCACAGCUUAUCACUUCGGCAGUGACUCCCAGCCUGUAGCCUUGUUUUCUAAUACACAAAAUCUGAACACAAACCAAGUGCCCAUCAACUGGGGACUGGUUAAAUUAAUCAUGGUAUGUCUUUACAAUGGCGUAUUUGCAGUUAUUAAGAAUCAUAUUGUGAUUGAGCACGGUGGCUCAUGCCUGUAAUCCCAGCACUUUGGGAAGCCAAGGUGGGUGGGUCACUUGAGGGCAGAAGUUUGAGACCAGCCUGGCCAACAUGGUGAAACCCUGUCUCCAGUAAAAAUACAAAAAUUAGCUGGGCAGGCACCUGUAAUCCCAGCUAUUCAGGAGGCUGAGGCAUGAGAAUUGCUUGAACCUGGGAGGUGGAGGUUGCAGUGAACCAAGAUCACACCACCGCACUCCAGCCUGGGCGAGAGUGAGACUGUCUCAAACAAACAAAAAAGAAUGAUAUUGUGGUUCAUGCCUGUAAUCCCAGAAAUACUGGAGGCCAAGGUGGGAGGUUCGUUGAGCCCAGGAGUUUGAGAGCAGUUUGAGCAACACAGGGAGACCCUGUCUCUCCCAAAAAAUAAAAAUAAAAAAAUAAUUAGCCUGUGGUACAUGCCUGUGGUCCUAGGUACUUGGGAGACUGAGGUGGGAGGAUCGUGGCUACAGUGAGCUCUCAUCACGCCACCACACUCCAGCCUUGGCAACAGAGUGAGACCUUAUCUUUUUUUUUUUUUUUUUUGAGACAGAGUCUCACUCUGUCACCCAGGCUGCAGUGCAGCGGCGCGAUCAUGGCUCACUGCGACCUCCACCUCCCAAGUUCAAGAGAUUCUCCUGCGUCAGCCUCCUGAGUAGCUGGGAUUACAGGCGUGCGCCACCACACCUGGCUAAUUUUUGUAUUUUUAGUAGAGACGGGGUUUCAUCGAACUCCUGACCUCGUGAUCCACCCGCCUCGGCCUCCCAAAGUGCUGGGAUUACAGGCGUGAACCACCGCACCUGGCCAAGUGAGACUCUGUCUCUAAAAAAAGAAAAAAAAAGUUAUUUUAGAAAACAACACAUUUGAGGAUAUGGAAGUAUGGUUACAGUAUCAGGUGAGAAAACCAUGCUGGAAGAUACUAAGAUAACACUGCCAAAAGAAAAUGUAAGCACCACACCUAGAUGAUUAUGCACAGAAGAAAGGUUGGAAGAAUAUGUACCUAGGGUGAUGGUCUCCGGAGAAUGUGACUAUGGGUGAUUUAUUUUUCCUCUUCUAGCAAGUAUGCAUUUGAUAAGUUUCUUCAAUGAAUAUGCAUUAGUAGUUUAAAAAAAAUUUUUCUUUUUUGAGACAGGGGUCUCACUGUGUCACUCAGGCUGAAGUGCACCACUCGGCUCACUGUAACCUCCGCCUCCCGAGUUCAAGUGAUUCCUCUACCUCAGUCUCCUGAGUAGCUGGGACUACAGGCAUGUGCCACUAUGCCCAGCUAAUAUAUGUAUGUUUAGUAGAGAUAGGGUUUCACCAUAUUGGCCAGGCUGGUAUUGAACUCCUGGCCUCAAGUGAUCUACCCACCUCAGCCUCCUAAAGUGCUGGGAUUACAGGCAUGAGCCACCGUACCAGGCCUAAAAAAUUUUUUCAAGCAAAGUAAAACAAACAAAAGCCACUUAAAGCCACACCAAUGGUAUUUAAGGAUAUUAUGGACCCCUCCAUGGUUAUCUGCCCAAGGAAGCUAAUGCCACAAUAGAAGCCAAUGAAGAUCACAACACUGGUGCCAGGGGCAGCCCUGAUCACAGUGGACAAAAUAUAAUCCAAGUCCAGCAACAAGGUGGCUAAGGACCUAUUUACUGACACUGCACCGUAAGUAAAAAUGAGAACUGUAACACCUCCUAGCAACAAAGCAAGUGUAAAGAAAAUGAUGCUGAAAUGAACACAGCAGAACUCAUCCUUCCUUAUCCACUCUCAAAACAUACAUACAGGAAUAUGGAAAAUGCUGCAUGGGGAUGGUGAAGACAGGAAAAGGUUUACCAGGCUGGAAAUUGUUUGCGUUUUUUUUUUUUUUUUUUUUUUUUGAGAUGUUUUGCUCGUCGCCUAGGCUGGAGUGCAAUGGCGCGAUCUCGGCUCGCUGCAACCUCCGCCUCCCUGGUUCAAGUGAUUAUCCUGCCUCAGCCUCCUGAGUAGCUGGGAUUACAGGCGCACGCCACCACACCUGGCUAAUUUUUGUAUUUUUUAGUAGAGACGGGGUUUUGUCAUGUUGGCCAGGUUGGUCUCGAACUCCUGACCACAGGUGACCUGCCCACUUUGGCCUCCCAAAAUGCUGGGAUUGCAGGGUGUGAGCCUCUCACUGCACUCAGUCUGUUUGUAACUUUUUUUUUUUUUUCCGAGACAGAAGAUCUUGCUCUGUCACCCAGGCUGGAGUGCACUGGCACGAUCUCAGCUCACUGCAACCUCCACCUCCUGGGUUUUUAAGCAAUUCUCUGCCUCAGCCUCCUGAGUAGCUGGGAUUACAGGGGGCAUGCCACCACACCCAGCUAAUUUUUGCAUUUUUAGUAGAGACGGGGUUUCACCAUCUUGGCCAGGCUGUUCUUGAACUCCUGACCUCGUGAUCCACCUGCCUCGGCCUCCCAAAGUGCUGGGAGCCACCGCGCUGGCCUCUGUUUGCAAUUCGUAAAAAUGCUGUCAUCAGCCUUUAAUGGUGUGUGUGCAGACUGCACAAAGAAAAGUGGAUGAGAAGACAGAAAACACACACGGUGAUGAUACCCACAGCAACAGGUGCUCUCAGGCACUCAGCCGCAUUCGAGUUCAUUGAAACUUACAACAACCUUAGGCACACACUACUUGCAGGCCGAUUUUAGAGAUGUGGAAACUGAGGCUUGGAGAGGAGAAAGCAAUUAGCCAAGGUCCCUCUCAGAAUGAGCUGAGAUGGGAUUUGUACUCACACCUAACUGACCCAGAACAUUAGUGCUUAAACACUGUGAGACACUAGGCACCCAAACUUCAAACUCUGAUAACCUCUGGUGCCAGUAAAGUUCUUGAAAAGCUUCCUUAAGAGACACAACCAUGAGAUUCCAUUUUUAAAAUGUACAGCAGCCACCAACCAGCAUCUGAAAAAGCCACGCUGCUAUUAUUAACAAUGAGACAACAGUUCUCUGGAGAAAAAGAGGACUAUUGAAACAAAACCUCAAUGACAGGAUUCUCUUCUGAGAGCACGAUUCAUCCCCAUAAUGGACAAAUGCCUCGCCUCAUUGAGACCUCCGCGCCAGUCUGAAUAAGGCAGGAAGGUUUCUUCACACCAUUCAUCUGGCCUGUGAGGGACCCAGCCAAGAUCUUGGCGUGCCUGUUCUGACAGCGACACCGGCCUCAGCAAAGCCAGACCCAGCAGCUCCGAUCUCUGCUACUUACAGACCUUGGGGUGAUGCUUGGCUGAGAUUUGGCAAGGAAAUGAAUUGCAGAAGUGAUCAAGGAGAAUUCCACAACCUGAGAGGCAGCAAAAGUGGACUUGACCCUGGUCUAGCAAGAGCCCACCAUUAGCAAUGACUCUUUCAAUACUUUCAGGAGCAGCUCCAGUCAAAAUUCCACUUACUCAAUUCUUUUUUUUUUUUUUUUUUUGAGACAGAAUCUCAUUGUCUCACCCAGGCUGAAGUGCAGUGGCUCAAUCUCAGCUCACUGCAACCUCCGCCUCCCAGAUUUAAGCAAUUCUUGUGCCUCAGCCACCCGAGUAGCUGGGAUUAUAGGCGUGUGCCACCAUAUCUGGCUAAUUUUUCUAUUUUUAGUAGAGAUGCGAUUUCACCAUGUUGGCCAGGCUAGUUUCGAACUCCUGACCUCAAGUGAUCCGCCUACCUCGGCCUCCCAAAGUGCUGGGAUUACAGGUAUGAGCCACUGCGCGCAGCCCCACUUGCCCAAUUCUUGACCAUCAUUUAUUGAGCUAAAUCCAAAAAGGAAACUCUACCACUGACUCUUUUCUUUCUCAUGGCCUCCAAAAUGAAUCCUAGGUUUUUCCAGCAGGGUAAAUUCAAAAGGACUCAGGUUGGAAAUUGAC